GCGGGGGGAGGCGCAGCCGUGAGGGCGGGGGCGUCGCCGAGACUCCUCUGUCGCCCUAAAACGUUUUCGUUCUGUCCUUUCGUUAGGGCCCGUCCUCAGUGCGGGAAAGACGGUUUGGGGUUGCUCCUUCGUGAUGGAGAUCGCCAGCGGUGCCUAUGGUUACUGACAGACUGAGCUUCUCAUCAGUGGCUGCCGCUGAACUUCUCUGAUGCUUCCAUCAGCAGCUGGCUUAGAACUGUGCAAAGGAUGCAGCAAAUAUGGGAGUAUUUAGAGGAUAUUUGCAAGUUACAGAAAUACCCAAAGACCCUGAUUGGGAUUGAGAUUUAAGUAAUUCACUUACGGAACGGCACUUCUUAGGAACCACUAAAUCCCAGAAAUUCCUUGUUUGUGUAUUCAUUUGCCUGAAGUUUAAGGUCUAUCUGAAGUUGCCUCUCCUGGAAUAGUUUUAGAUCCUUCACCGCUUUCCAAAUGCUGGCAUCUAAAGAGAACUGAGCAGCUGUUCGCCUUCCUGCCCUGGCCUGUCUUCAAACCACAGCGUGCCACCGCCUCGCGGUGCGGGAUCCAGGGCCCAGGCAGCCAGCCCCGAGCCGCUGCAGCUUAGACAUGUAAGCUCCUUACGUAACGGCCUGGGGAGAGCUCAGGUUUUCAGAGUCAAAACUGGAACAGGCAACGUGUCGUGCAAGGGCUGUCCAAAGCAGCCGGUAGGAAAUGCCAGAGAGGGGAGCGCGCCCCUUCUUAGGGGUGUUGAUGUCUAACGGAGGUUUCAGGAUGGUAUUUAUGCCAGACUCGGAUUCAGAGCUCUGAUCGCUACCCUGGUCCCGGUGUGGAUACCACAAGCUGAUCAGCAUUUACUUCAGCGGCACCGCCAAACUAAGCAGGGAAGGCACACUCUCCUCCUCGGCUGUGCUGCUCCACACAGAACCAGACUGGGGGACUGACGGGCAUUAAAAAUAACU